rnacentral:rRNA from 1 species
AUUGAACGCUGGCGGCAGGCCUAACACAUGCAAGUCGAGCGGAUGAGUGGAGCUUGCUCCAUGAUUCAGCGGCGGACGGGUGAGUAAUGCCUAGGAAUCUGCCUGGUAGUGGGGGACAACGUUUCGAAAGGAACGCUAAUACCGCAUACGUCCUACGGGAGAAAGUGGGGGAUCUUCGGACCUCACGCUAUCAGAUGAGCCUAGGUCGGAUUAGCUAGUUGGUGGGGUAAUGGCCCACCAAGGCGACGAUCCGUAACUGGUCUGAGAGGAUGAUCAGUCACACUGGAACUGAGACACGGUCCAGACUCCUACGGGAGGCAGCAGUGGGGAAUAUUGGACAAUGGGCGAAAGCCUGAUCCAGCCAUGCCGCGUGUGUGAAGAAGGUCUUCGGAUUGUAAAGCACUUUAAGUUGGGAGGAAGGGCAGUAAGUUAAUACCUUGCUGUUUUGACGUUACCAACAGAAUAAGCACCGGCUAACUUCGUGCCAGCCGCCGCCGUAAUAC